UACGUAGGGUGCAAGCGUUGUCCGGAAUUAUUGGGCGUAAAGAGCUCGUAGGCGGCUUUGCAAGUUAGAGGUGAAAGCCCGGGGCUCAACCCCGGAAUUGCCUUUAAAACUGCAUCGCUAGAAUUGUGGAGAGGUAAGUGGAAUUCCGAGUGUAGAGGUGAAAUUCGUAGAUAUUCGGAAGAACACCAGUGGCGAAGGCGACUUACUGGACACAUAUUGACGCUGAGGUGCGAAAGCGUGGGGAGCAAACAGG
rnacentral:rRNA from 1 species